UGGGGAAUAUUGGCACAAUGGGCGAAAGGCCUGAUGCAGCGACGCCGCGUGAGGGCAUGACGGCCUUCGGGCUUGUAAAACCUCUUUCAGCAGGGAAGAAGCGAAAGUGACGGUACCUGCAGAAGAAGCGCCGGCUAACUACGUGCCAGCAGCCGCGGUAAUACGUAGGGCGCAAGCGUUGUCCGGAAUUAUUGGGCGUAAAGAGCUCGUAGGCGGUUAGUCGCGUCUGCUGUGAAAACUCGAGGCUCAACCUCGGGCUUGCAGUGGGUACGGGCUGACUAGAGUGCGGUAGGGGUGACUGGAAUUCCUGGUGUAGCGGUGGAAUGCGCAGAUAUCAGGAGGAACACCGAUGGCGAAGGCAGGUCACUGGGCCGCAACUGACGCUGAGGAGCGAAAGCAUGGGGAGCGAACAGGAUUAGAUACCCUGGUAGUCCAUGCCGUAAACGUUGGGCACUAGGUGUGGGGUCCAUUCCACGGAUUCCGUGCCGCAGCAAACGCAUUAAGUGCCCCGCCUGGGGAGUACGGCCGCAAGGCUAAAACUUAAAGGAAUUGACGGGGUCAUAGCUGUUUCCU
rnacentral:rRNA from 1 species